rnacentral:rRNA from 1 species
AACGAACGCUGGCGGCAUGCCUAACACAUGCAAGUCGAACGAUGGUCUUCGGAUCAUAGUGGUGCACGGGUGCGUAACGCGUGGGAAUCUGCACUUGGGUUCGGAAUAACAGUUGGAAAAGACUGCUAAUAACGGAUGAUGUCGAUAAGACCAAAGAUUUAUCGCCCGAGGAUGAGCCCGCGUCGGAUUAGCUAGUUGGUGGGGUAAAGGCCUACCAAGGCGACGAUCCGUAGCUGGUCUGAGAGGAUGAUCAGCCACACUGGGACUGAGACACGGCCCAGACUCCUACGGGAUGCAGCAGUGGGGAAUAUUGGACAAUGGGCGCAAGCCUGAUCCAGCAAUGCCGCGUGAGUGAUGAAGGCCUUAGGGUUGUAAAGCUCUUUUACCCGGGAAGAUAAUGACUGUACCGGGAGAAUAAGCCCCGGCUAACUCCGUG